GACGAACGCUGGCGGCGUGCCUAAUACAUGCAAGUCGAGCGGACCAAAGGGAGCUUGCUCCUGGAGGUCAGCGGCGAACGGGUGAGUAACACGUGGGCAACCUGCCUGUAAGACUGGGAUAACAUCGAGAAAUCGGUGCUAAUACCGGAUAAUAAAAAGAACUGCAUGGUUCUUUUUUGAAAGAUGGUUUCGGCUAUCACUUACAGGUGGGCCCGCGGCGCAUUAGCUAGUUGGUGAGGUAACGGCUCACCAAGGCAACGAUGCGUAGCCGACCUGAGAGGGUGAUCGGCCACACUGGGACUGAGACACGGCCCAGACUCCUACGGGAGGCAGCAGUAGGGAAUCUUCCGCAAUGGACGAAAGUCUGACGGAGCAACGCCGCGUGAGUGAUGAAGGUUUUCGGAUCGUAAAACUCUGUUGUUAGGGAAGAACAAGUGCCGUUCGAAAGGGCGGCACCUUGACGGUACCUAACGAGAAAGCCACGGCUAACUACGUGCCAGCAGCCGCGGUAAAG
rnacentral:rRNA from 1 species